GACGAACGCUGGCGGCGUGCUUAACACAUGCAAGUCGAACGGAAAGGCCCUGCUUUUGUGGGGUGCUCGAGUGGCGAACGGGUGAAUAACACGUGAGUAACCUGCCCUUGACUUUGGGAUAACUUCAGGAAACUGGGGCUAAUACCGGAUAGGAGCUCCUGCUGCAUGGUGGGGGUUGGAAAGUUUCGGCGGUUGGGGAUGGACUCGCGGCUUAUCAGCUUGUUGGUGGGGUAGUGGCUUACCAAGGCUUUGACGGGUAGCCGGCCUGAGAGGGUGACCGGCCACAUUGGGACUGAGAUACGGCCCAGACUCCUACGGGAGGCAGCAGUGGGGAAUAUUGCACAAUGGGCGGAAGCCUGAUGCAGCAACGCCGCGUGCGGGGUGACGGCCUUCGGGUUGUAAACCGCUUUCGCCUGUGACGAAGCGUGAGUGACGGUAAUGGGUAAAGAAGCACCGGCUAACUACGUGCCAGCAGCCGCGGUGAUACGUAGGGUGCGAGCGUUGUCCGGAUUUAUUGGGCGUAAAGGGCUCGUAGGUGGUUGAUCGCGUCGGAAGUGUAAUCUUGGGGCUUAACCCUGAGCGUGCUUUCGAUACGGGUUGACUUGAGGAAGGUAGGGGAGAAUGGAAUUCCUGGUGGAGCGGUGGAAUGCGCAGAUAUCAGGAGGAACACCAGUGGCGAAGGCGGUUCUCUGGGCCUUUCCUGACGCUGAGGAGCGAAAGCGUGGGGAGCGAACAGGCUUAGAUACCCUGGUAGUCCACGCUGUAAACGGUGGGUACUAGGUGUGGGGUCCAUUCCACGGGUUCCGUGCCGUAGCUAACGCUUUAAGUACCCCGCCUGGGGAGUACGGCCGCAAGGCUAAAACUCAAAGGAAUUGACGGGGCCCCGCACAAGCGGCGGAGCAUGCGGAUUAAUUCGAUGCAACGCGUAGAACCUUACCUGGGUUUGACAUGGAUCGGGAGUGCUCAGAGAUGGGUGUGCCUCUUUUGGGGUCGGUUCACAGGUGGUGCAUGGCUGUCGUCAGCUCGUGUCGUGAGAUGUUGGGUUAAGUCCCGCAACGAGCGCAACCCUUGUUCACUGUUGCCAGCACGUUAUGGUGGGGACUCAGUGGAGACCGCCGGGGUCAACUCGGAGGAAGGUGGGGAUGACGUCAAGUCAUCAUGCCCCUUAUGUCCAGGGCUUCACGCAUGCUACAAUGGCUGGUACAGAGAGUGGCGAGCCUGUGAGGGUGAGCGAAUCUCGGAAAGCCGGUCUCAGUUCGGAUUGGGGUCUGCAACUCGACCUCAUGAAGUCGGAGUCGCUAGUAAUCGCAGAUCAGCAACGCUGCGGUGAAUACGUUCCCGGGGCU
rnacentral:rRNA from 1 species